UUUAAGGCCUCAAUAAACACCAUUUCCCGUUCCAUUAGCAUCUCCAUCUUCGCAACCUUCAAUGUCCCCAGUAAACGCCAGUUACGUGGUAGUGAUAGCACCAAAAUAUCAAUAGUAGCACGAACCCUAAUCACCUUCCACCGUUUUGCAUUUUGCCUCUCUGUUUUUUUCCCAAAUCGCAUGAACCCUAAUCAGCUGCCAUGGUUUCUCAUUUCUUAAUUUAUUUUCUUUUUCAAAUUGCAAGAAGCCUAACCUACAUCUGGUGAGUCCUAAGCACACUUUCAGUCAUGGAUAUGGAUGCAACAAGCAAUGCACCCUAAAUUGAAUUACAAUAGCAGUUUAAGGAAAAAAAUGGUCCAAAUAAUGGUUGAAGACAGAUAAUACCAAUAAAAAGCAUGUCAAUAAAGAAAUGGUUUAAGGAAAGAAAGAUGAAGAGGAAA